CCCUAGUAACGGCGAGUGAAGCGGCAACAGCUCAAAUUUGAAAUCUGGCCCUCGUGGUCCGAGUUGUAAUUUGUAGAGGAUGCUUUGGGUUAGGUGCCUUCCGAGUUCCCUGGAACGGGACGCCAUAGAGGGUGAGAGCCCCGUCUGGUUGGACACCGAGCCUCUGUAAAGCUCCUUCGACGAGUCGAGUAGUUUGGGAAUGCUGCUCUAAAUGGGAGGUAUAUGUCUUCUAAAGCUAAAUAUUGGCCAGAGACCGAUAGCGCACAAGUAGAGUGAUCGAAAGAUGAAAAGCACUUUGAAAAGAGGGUUAAAAAGUACGUGAAAUUGUUGAAAGGGAAGCGCUUGUGACCAGACUUGGGCCCGGUCAAUCAUCCAGGGUUCUCCCUGGUGCACUUUUCCGGCUCAGGCCAGCAUCAGUUUGUCGCGGGGGAUAAAGACGUUGGGAAUGUGGCUCCCCCGGGAGUGUUAUAGCCCUUCGUGUAAUACCCUGCUUCGGACUGAGGUUCGCGCAUCUGCAAGGAUGCUGGCGUAAUGGUCAUCAGCGACCCGUCUUGAAACACGGACCAAGGAGUCGUCUUCGUAUGCGAGUGUUCGGGUAUCAAACCCCUACGCGUAAUGAAAGUGAACGCAGGUGAGAGCUUCGGCGCAUCAUCGACCGAUCCUGAUGUUCUCGGAUGGAUUUGAGUAAGAGCAUACGGGGCCGGACCCGAAAGAAGGUGAACUAUGCCUGUAUAGGGUGAAGCCAGAGGAAACUCUGGUGGAGGCUCGCAGCGGUUCUGACGUGCAAAUCGAUCGUCAAAUAUGGGCAUGGGGGCGAAAGACUAAUCGAACCUUCUAGUAGCUGGUUUCCGCCGAAGUUUCCCUCAGGAUAGCAGUGUUGAACUCAGUUUUAUGAGGUAAAGCGAAUGAUUAGGGACUCGGGGG
rnacentral:rRNA from 1 species